AGAGUUUGGAUCCUGGCUCAGGAUGAACGCUGGCGGCGUGCCUAAUACAUGCAAGUCGAGCGGUAAGGUUCUCACUCUGUACUUAAUUUUUUGAGUAUGGUGUGAGAACACACGAGCGGCGGACGGCUGAGUAAUGCACAGGAACGUACCCUAAAGUGAGGCAUAAUCCGCCGAAAGGCGGACUAAUACCGCAUGUGGUCUUCGGAUUAAAGCCUUCGGGCGCUUUGGGCACGGCCUGUGUCCGAUUAGCUUGUUGGUGAGGUAAUAGCUCACCAAGGCGAUGAUCGGUAGCUGGUCUGAGAGGAUGAUCAGCCAGACUGGGACUGAGACACGGCCCAGACUCCUACGGGAGGCAGCAGUAGGGAAUCUUCCACAAUGGGCGAAAGCCUGAUGGAGCAACGCCGCGUGCAGGAUGAAGGCCUAUGGGUCGUAAACCUCUUUUCUCAGGGAUGAAAAAAAUGACAGUACCUGAGGAAUAAGUCACGGCUAACUACGUGCCAGCAGCCGCGGUAA
rnacentral:rRNA from 1 species